rnacentral:snoRNA from 1 species
GUGGCCCUGCACCAAGGCUGGCAGUUUCUGAAGCUGGUGGUUUCAAGCGGGAGCCUGAAGCAGUAUCAUCCCACGAUCUGUUGGUCACUUCAGAACUUUAGAAAUGUAAUAGUCAAUUCAUUAGAAAGAAAGAACU